CAGUAGCCACGGUAAUACGUAGGGUGCAAGCGUUAAUCGGAAUUACUGGGCGUAAAGCGUGCGCAGGCGGUUAUAUAAGUCAGAUGUGAAAUCCCCGGGCUCAACCUGGGAACUGCAUUUGAGGCUGUAUGGCUAGAGUGUGUCAGAGGGGGGUAGAAUUCCACGUGUAGCAGUGAAAUGCGUAGAUAUGCGGAGGAAUACCGAUGGCGAAGGCAGCCCCCUGGGCCAAUACUGACGCUCAUGCACGAAAGCGUGGGGAGCAAACAGGAUUAGAUACCCCCGUAGUCCCUGUCUCUUAUAC
rnacentral:rRNA from 1 species